CAGUAGCCGCGGGAAUACGGAGGGUGCAAGCGUUAAUCGGAAUUACUGGGCGUAAAGCGCACGCAGGCGGUCUGUCAAGUCAGAUGUGAAAUCCCCGGGCUUAACCUGGGAACUGCAUUUGAAACUGGCAGGCUAGAGUCUUGUAGAGGGGGGUAGAAUUCCAGGUGUAGCGGUGAAAUGCGUAGAGAUCUGGAGGAAUACCGGUGGCGAAGGCGGCCCCCUGGACAAAGACUGACGCUCAGGUGCGAAAGCGUGGGGAGCAAACAGGAUUAGAUACCCGUGUAGUCCCUGUCUCUUAUAC
rnacentral:rRNA from 1 species